GGCCCCGCCCCCGCGGCCGAGCCCGGGGCCGCCGCAGAAGCGGAACCCAAACAACCCCCGCAGUCUGCGCGGCCUGCGGCCCUCGGCCCGCUGCGGGGGGGGGUCGGUUCUAUCCAUCCCGCCCACCCCUUGCUUUAACCCCCUCAUUUCUGGGACGGGGAGAAAGGCAGAGGGGAGACUCCCGUGGUAGCAGUCGCACACGAACUCCCCUCGACGUACAUUUGUGAUGGGAAAAGAAGCCAAAACACUCCCGAGUUAAAUGAGCCUCCGCUGCGAGCUCACGGACGCCCUGGGGCUGUUCGGAUAAUCGUUAGUUUUCCUUCGGGGACUUAUUAUCUACCGCUCCUACUCAUUAACUCCUGCACGGCUCGCCCCGCUUGUUCCGGGCUUGUCGGCAGGGCUGGGGGACAGGCCGCCCUCACCGGCUCCCGCCCGCGCGGCAGGCUCGAGGGAGAGGGGCCGAGGGAAACGCGUCUUCCUUUCCGCCGCGGGCUUUCCGGGUAGCGGGGAAGGCCAGCCGGAUCCCAGAGGCCGGGGGGGGGGUGCAGGCCGUCCGUGCUCGCCGCACCCCGGAGCAGCCACCGCGUUACGCUCAGCAGGCCGUGUUACGCUCAGAAACCUCCCCAGCUGCGCGGACAGCAUCCGCUUGUCGAGACUCGCGCCCUGCCGCGAUUGGGGCCCGGCGGGCAGAAAGUUCGCUCCACCGCUGCGGGGGAGUGACAGGGCUGCAGCUCAGCCGCAGGCAGAAAGGACAAUUUGGGAAUUGGAAGCACCUUUAGUCUGCUAGCAUUGAAAAUUAACGUGUACUCGCAUUGCACCCCUCGUUCCCAGAUGAGGAGGCCAAAAUUACAAACCGUUUCGGAACAGGGUGCUGCCAGCCACGGAGGCAAAUCCGCCGAGGCGUCUCACAGCGAGCUGAGGUGAAGGCCAAGACGCAGCCUCGGGCGGGACGGCGGUGGGCAGCACCGCUCUUCCACACCCGCCUCCGCUCCAGGCCGCCGUCACGCAGCAGAGCGGCCGGACAGACGUCGUCCCACCCCGCGUGCUCCCUUGCACGCCGACUCCCCAGCGGUGCCCUGCUCAGCUCUCCCGGAUAAACUUACCGACCUGUAACCACAGGAAGGCCCCAGGCCCUCACGCGCGUGCCAAGCUUGCUACCGAAUUUCAGAGCCUCUGUCAGCAAGGCGUCAGUGCACCUUCGCCGGCACGAGAGCCCAGCCUGCGCCCCAGCGCUGCUCUCCGGACGAGCACCGACCGCUCGAACCUGUGCGAGCGCAGAGCCCCGGGGCGUCUUGCCACCACGGCGAGGCUCACGUUUACAGUCGUGCUGCAGCUUCAACACAGCCAUACGGACACGGUCACCUCUGCACUUUGAGCCCAGCACCGAGAAAGUAAGCAGAAAAAAACCUGCAUGUCUUUUUAGUGAAACAAGCUACUACUCACCUUAUUCUGCUUUUUACGUAAGCCAGUGAGUUGCUCCCAUCCUGGUACUCAGCUUAUCUGGAGCUCCCAGCAGCCACUUUCAAGGCAUAAGAGAAAUAAAGAGAACAGGAAGGAACGAACGUUCACAGUCCUAUUCCUAGAUGCAGGGCAGCUAGUCAGUGAUUUGGUUAACAGUCCUUGGAUGGCGAGAACUAAAACACAUCCUUUUAAAGAUAGCAAACAAAUGGAAAUGCCUGCAACUUUCUGAUUAACGUCUGCAACACCUCACUAACUUGUCCUUCGAUGAAGUUAUCACAGCAUAUUCAUGCAUGCCAAAAGACAUGUAUACUACUGCUGCAAGGCAACAAUUACCUUCCUGGCAAACACUGGCUCCCAAACCUGAUUCCCAAAUCAUCAGGUCAGCAAGACCUGUGCAUAGUCUCAUUCCUGUCCAAGAAAGUACUUCAGCACAUGCUUAAUUUUUAUCAGUCUCAAUGGGAUAAACAGUGGCGCUUACUUUGCUGAACCAGGAAAGGAUUAUUCAUAUUUAAUCAUAUGGCAGAUUACGAGCCAUCACAACUUGACCUCCAAGAAGCUGCUAACAGCAUUUGUCAGCAGAAAGACUGAAGGAGAAGACCAUCCAAGGGGGAUAAGCAACCUCUGAAAUACUAGAGGCUGCAAAAGGUGUGUUUUAAAUCCCAUAAGUAACUUAAAUGCAAGUAAAGACUUGAUCUGACUUGAAAGGUCAAGAGCAUCUCCGAGGUACAGGGUGGUCAACGCAUAAAAGGGCACCUAAUGUUAUGGACAGGUGAUCAGCUCCUGUAUCUCACUGCUCUGGAUCUAGGAAUUUUCAUGGAAACAACCAUCCGACAACCUGAACCCAUUUCCAUUGCUGGUGGCUGGCACUUGUUCCUGCUGCCAAAGAAACAGAUAAAAGAAUUUUUAAAUACAGUCAAGUGCUGUUGUAGCCUGCACACCUCAUGUCAUCCCUCCAGAGCCUAGCAAUCAGAGGAUUAAAAAGAACUACUCAGGAUGAAAGCAACCUGAAUGAAAACUUUCCCUUUGCAGCUUUCACAAGGGUUUGGGUUUUUUUAAUAAACGCAAAUGCUGAUUGCACACAUAGCCUUCCAUGAUCCUAGAAAGCAUGUAGACAAUGAUCACACUUGAUCAGUUCCAACUUGUUUGCUCCUCUGUCCAUCCCUCCUUCUCCCCGGAAAAAAAUUUCCUUUAUUACUGGCACUGCCUGCAUGCGCCCUACAGCACACCCUGGUUUCAGGGACCAUCAUAAACAGUCAGUACAGAACAGAUAACUUCAUAUCACAUAUCCUUGAAUCAGAAAGAACCUCCCCAUCUCACUGGAAAAACAGCUCCACUGAUACCAGAAUUGGUCAAGAAGUGUUUUCCAGACAUCAACUGUUGCAAACCUUUCUUACUAAUCCACACCACUCGGGGUUUUACGGUGCGAUAAGAAAACUUAUUUCCUCUCAGGUUCCCCGACAGAACAAAUGGUUCCUUUAUGCAUAACAGACUGGCUUCAAGGGAGAAGAGAUCAUAUUUAGGAUUUCUGAGUCAGUGCUCCACCAGCUUCAGGUGCAAGCAGCAGGAGCCACCAUGACUAUGACAAAGAUGAUGCUAUUCCAAAACAACGUGCAUGAUUCCCACCUGAGCACGCAUGCAGAAAGAGCUCCCGUCGAUACUCGAGUGUUCACCGACGUCACCAACACUGAUUCGCUAAAGCUUUAACUCCACCCCUGCGGCUUAAAACUCCACACGGGCUCCAGUAAGAGCCCCAAAGAAGUCUCGUUACAUUAACGGUCUGAGUGUGCCUGACCCAACUCAGAAGAUAAUUGAAAACCACGUACCACAUACAGUGCUUACAGCAUUUAGAGCGUGGUCGUGUUUUCCUUACAGCAUGAUACAUUACUGAAAGGAACUAUUCAAGCUGACAAGCCCAGUUAGCGAUUUACCAUAUAUGAGGCCAUUUCCCAACCCCCUACCUCUGAAAAGAGGAAGCAUUAUCCAAAACGAAAGCUAUCUAGAGACUUAAUAACCACCCUGUCCUCACCCAAACUCGCUUCUAACUUCAUAUCUGGAUAACCAGCACUUUGGAAAUUUGUGCUCUGAAUAAUAUUGGAGACCUGAGGAAAAGGACAUACCAGGUGACUUUAACUUUUCCUUUUUAUAAUCAUUAGUGGGAGGGGGGAAAAGAAGGAGAAAUAUAGCUUUUUAGAUUAAGAGAUUUUAAAGUCUUGAUAAAAACAGCAGAAGAGGCAAAAAAAAUCUCAUUGAAUUAUCAAGCCAUGCAGGAGAGAACACAUGACUGAAAAAACUCCGAAUUUGACUCAAUUUCUAAAUUCAAAUACAAAGAAGAAAAACAAGACUUACCCUUCACUGAUUGUAUUUCAGAUUAUGAUUUUAAUGCUUAAAAGCUGGCAAUAUUACUGUGUAUUUUAGCUUGAAAAAAAUCUGAUGAUUUCCGAUACCUUCCAGAAAGGCCUGAAAGGCUCUGCAAGCAGAGACCUAGACUGACACAUACCUACGCUAAGAAUUUUGCAGCAUUUUGCUAGUAAAGCAUGAGUCAGGAUCUGUCACUACCCUUGGAAAGAUGCCAACAGAAUACAAGCAGCACUGAAAAACAAAACCGUUACAACAGCGACCAAGUCUUUGAAGGCUGAACGUUUGCUGAAGUAAAGGUAUAAACCACAACUUAAUUAUGCACCAGUGUAACGAAGCACUCAUGUCAUUAAGCAUGUUUCAGUUCUACAUUCCACAACAUUUUACCACAAAUUCAAGAUGCUCCAAUUCCACUUUGUGGGAACUAGUGAGAUUGAAACACUCUCAGGACAUGCUAUAAAACAAAAAAGAAAUACACUCAGACUGGAAAUAGAAGUGACAAGCCAAAGUAUACGCAAGGGAACAUGAAGAACCCAGAAAUACAGGAACAAAUUCUACAGAU